GACGAACGCUGGCGGCGUGCUUAACACAUGCAAGUCGAAGAUAGUGGCGAACGGGUGAGUAAUACGUGGGUAACCUGCCCUCCUUUUUGGGAUAAGCCUCGGAAACGGGGUCUAAUACCGAAUAAAGGGGGAUGUGCUAGCGGCCUAUAGGCUUGUUGGUGGGGUGAUGGCCUACCAAGGCGGUGACGGGUAGCCAGCCUGAGAGGGUGAGCUGCGACAUUGGGACUGCGCUACGGCCCAGAGGCCGACGGGGGGCGGCAGUGGGGGAUAUGGCACAAGGGGUGAAAGCGCGAUGCCGCGACGACGCAGGGGGGACGAAGGUUUUAGGGUUGUAACCGUCUUUCGCAAGCGAUCGGGUACGGGCAGAAGAAGCGCCGGCUAACUACGUGCCAGCAGCCGCGGUAAUAC
rnacentral:rRNA from 1 species